rnacentral:rRNA from 1 species
UACGUAGGUGGCGAGCGUUGUCCGGAUUUAUUGGGCGUAAAGGGAACGCAGGCGGUCUUUUAAGUCUGAUGUGAAAGCCUUCAGCUUAACCGAAGUAGUGCAUUGGAAACUGGAAGACUUGAGUGCAGAAGAGGAGAGUGGAACUCCAUGUGUAGCGGUGAAAUGCGUAGAUAUAUGGAAGAACACCAGUGGCGAAAGCGGCUCUCUGGUCUGUAACUGACGCUGAGGUUCGAAAGCGUGGGUAGCAAACAGG